rnacentral:rRNA from 1 species
GAUGAACGCUGGCGGCGUGCCUAAUACAUGCAAGUCGAGCGAACGGACGAGAAGCUUGCUUUUCUGAUGUUAGCGGCGGACGGGUGAGUAACACGUGGAUAACCUACCUAUAAGACUGGGAUAACUUCGGGAAUCCGGAGCUAAUACCGGAUAAUAUUUUGAACCGCAUGGUUCAAAAGUGAAAGACGGUCUUGCUGUCACUUAUCGAUGGAUCCGCGCUGCAUUAGCUAGUUGGUAAGGUAACGGCUUACCAAGGCAACGAUGCAUAGCCGACCUGAGAGGGUGAUCGGCCACACUGGAACUGAGACACGGUCCAGACUCCUACGGGAGGCAGCAGUAGGGAAUCUUCCGCAAAGGGCGAAAGCCUGACGGAGCAACGCCGCGUGAGUGAUGAAGGUCUUCGGAUCGUAAAACUCUGUUAUUAGGGAAGAACAUAUGUGUAAGUAACUGUGCACAUCUUGACGGUACCUAAUCAGAAAGCCACGGCUAACUACGUG